GAUGAACGCUGGCGGCGUGCCUAAUACAUGCAAGUCGAGCGAACGGACGAGAAGCUUUCUUCUCUGAUUUUAGCGGCGGACGGGUGAGUAACACGUGGAUAACCUACCUAUAAGACUGGGAUAACUUCGGGAAACCGUAGCUAAUACCGGAUGAUAUUUUGAACCUCAUUGUUCAAAAGUUAAAGACGGUCUUGCUUUCACUUAUAGAUGGAUCCGCGCUGCAUUAGCUGGUUGGUAAGGUAACGGCUUACCAAGGCAACGAUGCAUAGCCGACCUGAGAGGGAGAUCGGCCACACUGGAACUGAGACACGGUCCAGACUCCUACGGGAGGCAGCAGUAGGGAAUCUUCCGCAAUGGGCGAAAGCCUGACGGAGCAAAGCCGCGUGAGUGAUGAAGGUCUUCGGAUCGUAAAACUCUGUUAUUAGGGAAGAACAUAUGUGUAAGUAACUGUGCACAUCUUGACGGUACCUAAUCAGAAAGCCACGGCUAACUACGUG
rnacentral:rRNA from 1 species